CUAACUAGGAUUCCCUCAGUAGCUGCGAGCGAACAGGGAAGAGCCCAGCACCGAAUCCCGCGGCCGAUACCGGGCGCCGGGAAAUGUGGUGUUAGGGAGGAUCCGUUUAUCCCGAGGUCGUGCGGUGCGUCCAAGUCCAUCUUGAACGGGGCCACAGCCCAGAGAGGGUGCCAGGCCCGUAGCGACCGCCGCCGAUAGCGGGAGGAUCUCUCCUCAGAGUCGGGUUGCUUGAGAGUGCAGCCCUAAGUGGGUGGUAAACUCCAUCUAAGGCUAAAUAUGACCACGAGACCGAUAGCGAACAAGUACCGUGAGGGAAAGUUGAAAAGCACUUUGAAGAGAGAGUUCAAGAGUACGUGAAACCGUUCAGGGGUAAACCUGAGAAACCCGAAAGGUCGAAAGGGGAAAUUCAGUCUCGUUUCGGUCGUCGGCGAUUAGCGGUCGAGUGACGGACGGCGUGUGUUUACACGUGCCGUUCGCUCCUUCCGUUUUUCGAACCGAUAUCGAACGGGUGCACUUUUCCCCUAGUAGGACGUCGCGAUCCGUUGGGUGUCGGUCUAAGGCUCGCGGUGGAGCCCACGAGGACGUUUAGGCGUUCCGCGUGGACCUGCGGUGUUCCGGCCGACUCGCUCGACGGUAUAAAUAUGGCGCGGGGCCGCUACUUCAUAGUUAGCGUUCGGCCUGUGGCAAGCGCGUCCGUUGUUCGACGGAGAUCGGACCUGGUGCCGGUCCUGUCCGCGGGCGACUGUUGGCUGCGGUGUUCUCGAACAGACCUCGUUGAAACGCCGAUCUGCGACGCUCUAGCUUUGGGUACUUUUCAGGACCCGUCUUUGAAACACAGAC
rnacentral:rRNA from 1 species